rnacentral:rRNA from 1 species
GUGGCCUCAAAUCAGGUAGGAUUACCCGCUGAACUUAAGCAUAUCAAUAAGCGGAGGAAAAGAAACUAACAAGGAUUCCCCUAGUAACGGCGAGUGAAGCGGGAUGAGCUCAAAUUUGUAAUCUGGUGGACUCAGUUCAUCCGAAUUGUAAUCUAUAGAAAAGUUUUCCGCGCUGGACCGUGUCUAAGUCCCUUGGAACAGGGUGUCAGAGAGGGUGAGAAUCCCGUGCUUGAUACGACCACCAGUGCUAUGUGAUACUUUUUCAACGAGUCGAGUUGUUUGGGAAUGCAGCUCAAAAUGGGUGGUAAAUUCCAUCUAAAGCUAAAUAUUGGCGAGAGACCGAUAGCGAACAAGUACCGUGAGGGAAAGAUGAAAAGCACUUUGGAAAGAGAGUUAAACAGUACGUGAAAUUGUUAAAAGGGAAACGAUUGAAGUCAGUCGUGCUCUCUAGGACUCAGCCAGUUCUUCUGGUGUAUUUCCUAGUGAGCGGGUCAACAUCAGUUUAGAUCGCUGGAUAAGGUCAUUAGGAAUGUGGCUCCCUCGGGAGUGUUAUAGCCUAGUGUCGCAUACAGUGGUUUAGACUGAGGAACGCAGCUCGCCUUUAUGGCCGGGGUUCGCCCA